UGAGGAAUAUUGGUCAAUGGGCGAGAGCCUGAACCAGCCACGUCGCGUGAAGGAAGACUGACCUUACGGUUUGUAAACUUCUUUUGUAGAGGGGUAAUGGCAGAUACGUGUAUUUGCGUGAAAGUACUCUACGAAUAAGCAUCGGCUAACUCCGUGCCAGCAGCCGCGGUAAUACGGGGGAUGCGAGCGUUAUCCGGAAUUAUUGGGUUUAAAGGGUGCGCAGGUGGCUAAUCAGGUCAGUGGUGAAAAGCUAUGGCUCAACCAUGGUCUAGCCAUUGAAACCGUAUAGCUAGAGAGGAGACGAGGUAGGCGGGAUGUGUGGUGUAGCGGUGAAAUGCUUAGAUAUCAUGACGAACUCCGAUUGCGAAGGCAGCUUACGGGAGCGCAACUGACGCUAAAGCUCGAAGGUGCGGGUAUCGAACAGG
rnacentral:rRNA from 1 species